rnacentral:misc_RNA from 1 species
GAUGAAGAACGCAGUGAAAUGCGAUACGUAAUGUGAAUUGCAGAAUUCAGUGAAUCAUCGAGUCUUUGAACGCACAUUGCGCCCCCUGGUAUUCCGGGGGGCAUGCCUGUCCGAGCGUCAUUACUGCCCUCAAGCACGGCUUGUGUGUUGGGCCUCCGUCCUCCUCCCGGGGGACGGGCCCGAAAGGCAGCGGCGGCACCGCGUCCGGUCCUCGAGCGUAUGGGGCUUCGUCACCCGCUCUUGUAGGCCCGGCCGGCGCUUGCCGACACAUCAAUCUUUUUUCCAGGUUGACCUCGGAUCAGGUAGGGAUACCCGCUGAACUUAAGCAUAUCAAUAAGCGGAGGA